ACUAUCUGUUCUCCCGGGAGCACAGCCAGGCCUGUCGCCAACAAGGCUUCUGCAUGAUGUGCAUCAUGGAAGCGCAUGUUAACAAGGUCCUGCGUUCAGUCAGUGCCAUCCUGCCUUGGGCUGUUCUCAGGGUUUUCAGAUUCAUAGGAGAACAUUUUCAGCUUGGCAGGGAGGAAG